UACGUAGGUGGCGAGCGUUGUCCGGAUUUACUGGGUGUAAAGGGCGCGUAGGCGGGGCAGCAAGUCAGGUGUGAAAUCUCUGGGCUUAACCCAGAAACUGCACUUGAAACUGUUGCUCUUGAGUGUCGGAGAGGUAGACGGAAUUCCUAGUGUAGCGGUGAAAUGCGUAGAUAUUAGGAGGAACACCAGUGGCGAAGGCGGUCUACUGGACGAUAACUGACGCUGAGGCGCGAAAGCGUGGGGAGCAAAC
rnacentral:rRNA from 1 species